rnacentral:rRNA from 1 species
GAUGAACGCUGGCGGCGUGCCUAAUACAUGCAAGUCGAGCGAACAGACGAGGAGCUUGCUCCUCUGACGUUAGCGGCGGACGGGUGAGUAACACGUGGAUAACCUACCUAUAAGACUGGGAUAACUUCGGGAAACCGGAGCUAAUACCGGAUAACAUGUUGAACCGCAUGGUUCAACAGUGAAAGACGGUCUUGCUGUCACUUAUAGAUGGAUCCGCGCCGCAUUAGCUAGUUGGUAAGGUAACGGCUUACCAAGGCAACGAUGCGUAGCCGACCUGAGAGGGGGAUCGGCCACACUGGAACUGAGACACGGUCCAGACUCCUACGGGAGGCAGCAGUGGGGAAUCUUCCGCAAUGGGCGAAAGCCUGACGGAGCAACGCCGCGUGAGUGAAGAAGGUCUUCGGAUCGUAAAACUCUGUUAUUAGGGAAGAACAAAUGUGUAAGUAACUAUGCACGUCUUGACGGUACCUAAUCAGAAAGCCACGGCUAACUACGU